GAGGGUAGAGCUCAGCGGUAGAGCACAUGCUUAGCAUGCACAAGGUCCUGGGUUCGAUCCCCAGUACCUCCA
rnacentral:tRNA from 1 species